CACGUAGGCACCAAGCGUUGUCCGGAUUUAUUGGGCGUAAAGAGCUCGUAGGCGGUUCAGUAAGUCGGGUGUGAAAACUCUGGGCUUAACCCAGAGCCGCCACCCGAUACUGCUGUGACUUGAGUUCGGUAGGGGAGCAGGGAAUUCCUAGUGUAGCGGUGAAAUGCGCAGAUAUUAGGAGGAACACCGGUGGCGAAGGCGCUGCUCUGGGCCGAUACUGACGCUGAGACGCGAAAGCGUGGGGAGCAAACAGG
rnacentral:rRNA from 1 species